rnacentral:rRNA from 1 species
GGCGAAAGGGCGAGGAAUAGAUUCCUACGUUACCCCGGAGUCAGGGAUAACCAUCGGAAACGGUGGCUAACACNUGAUGACCUCGAAAGAGCAAAGUUUACGCUCUGGGAGCGGGGAAUCUCCUAUCAGCUAGUUGGUGAGGUAACGGCUCACCAAGGCUAAGACGGGUAGCGGGUGUGAGAGCACGGCCCGCCGCAUCGGGACUGAGACACUGCCCGGACUCCUACGGGAGGCUGCAGUAACGAAUCUUCCGCAAUGCACGAAAGUGUGACGGGGCAAUGCCGCGUGUGGGAUGAAGCCCUUCGGGGUGUAAACCACUGUCAGGGUCUAGGAACACAAUGACCAUACCCAAAGGAAGCACCGGCUAACUCUGUGCCAGCAGCCGCGGUAAUACAGAGGGUGCGAGCGUUAAUCGGAAUCACUGGGCUUAAAGGGUCCGUAGGCGGGACUGCAGGCGUC